UACGUAGGGUGCAAGCGUUUGUCCGGAAUUAUUGGGCGUAAAGAGCUCGUAGGCGGUUUGUCGCGUCUGCUGUGAAAACCCGAGGCUCAACCUCGGGCCUGCAGUGGGUACGGGCAGACUAGAGUGCGGUAGGGGGAGAUUGGAAUUCCUGGUGUAGCGGUGGAAUGCGCAGAUAUCAGGAGGAACACCGAUGGCGAAGGCAGAUCUCUGGGCCGUAACUGACGCUGAGGAGCGAAAGCGUGGGGAGCGAACAGG
rnacentral:rRNA from 1 species